GAUGAAGAACGUAGCGAAAUGCGAUACUUGGUGUGAAUUGCAGGAUCCCGUGAACCACCGAGUCUUUGAACGCACAUUGCGCCCAUUAGUAUUCUAGUGGGCAUGCCUGUUCGAGCGUCAUUAAGUCCACUUAAGCCCUGCUUAGUGUUGGGAGACUGCUCCAGCGGUGCUACCCUGUAGCUACCCUGCAGCUCCUCAAAGACAGCGGCGGAGUUGUGGUAUCCUCUGAGCUUAGUAACUUGUUCUAGCUUUCGAGUACACCACUUCCCCUGCCGUAAAACCCUUAAUUUUUAAUGGUUGACCUCGGAUCAGGUAGGAAUACCCGCUGAACUUAAGCAUAUCAAUAAGCGGAGGA
rnacentral:misc_RNA from 1 species